rnacentral:rRNA from 2 species
GGGUUCUACCGUUGGUCGGGCUAACAAGUCUGUACUGGUGUGUAGAAUUUCUACCUUCUGGGGAACUAUCAUGUUAUUAAUUUAGCGUGGUGGGAAACCAGGACCUUUACCUUGAAAAAAUUAGAGUGUUCAAAGCAGGCUUACGUCUGAAUACAUUAGCAUGGAAUAAUAGAAUAGGACGGUGGUCCUGUUUUGUUGGUUUCUGAAUCACCGU